rnacentral:misc_RNA from 1 species
CUUCGCCUUUCCCCACCUGAAACUCCUCUCCUUCCUUCAUCACCAAUAUAUGUGUGUGUCGCACUCGUUAAACCAAGUUGGUCAAGGAGUUCAUACACUCUUUGUUUCUUCUCACUCCUGGAAAUGGAAGGUGGAAGCCUAACUUCAGCUGCAAACAUGAAGGUCUCAAAAACAGUCAACAUAGGGAAGAGCUGAUCAUCUUGCAUCACAUAAGAUGAAAUCAUCUUCAUGUAGCUUGUAGUUACCGAUUUCCCGUCAAUCUUGACAGAUCCUUCAAGGCUACCCUGCGCAAUCCGACCAGCCAAGGCAUCAAGAAAAGUGGAUUUUCCAGCACCACUAGGCCCCAUGAUGGCCAUAAUUUCACCCCUUAUAGCUUGGCCAGAUAUAUCAUUGAGAAG